rnacentral:rRNA from 1 species
GGAGGAAAAGAAAAUAACAAUGAUUCCCUCAGUAACGGCGAGCGAAGAGGGAUAAGCUCAAAUUUUAAAUCUGUUGGGUUCCACUUAACAGAGUUGUAUUUUGAAGAAACGUUUUCUGCGUCCAGGAUUAGCCUAAAUCCUUUGGGAUAAGGUAUCAUGGAGGGUGAGAAUCCCGUUCAUGGUUAAUCUUAAGGAAGCUCUACGAUACGUUUUCCAAGAGUCGAGUUGUUUGGGAUUGCAGCUCAAAAUGGGAGGUAAAUUUCUCCUAAGGCUAAAUAUUGGCGAGAGACCGAUAGCGAACAAGUACCGUGAGGGAAAGAUGAAAAGAACUUUGAAAAGAGAGUUAAACAGUACGUGAAAUUGUUGAAAGGGAAACGAUUGAAGUCAGUCAUACCAACGGGAAAUCAACCUUUUGAGCUYGGUCUCGUGGGUUUUGAAGAGUUUCAAAGCCUUCGGAUUCGCGGGAUUGGGAUCUCUCGGUGUACUUUUUCGUACGGUUAGUCAACAUCGGUUUUGAAUGUCAUAAAAUGACUGGAGGAAUGUAGCUUCGAUCUCGUAUUGAAGUGUUAUAGCCUUUGGUAGAUGUGAUGUUUGAGACCGAGGAUUGCAACGGAUACCCUUCAGGGCUAUUCGUCUGAUCUCUGAUACGUUGCCUUGAUGUUGAAAGCUUGCUUAUGAUGUUAGGGUAUUACGGUCAAAAGGUUAGAACGAAUUACAUUCGUUAAGGAUGUUGACGUAAUGACUUUAAACGACCCGUCUUGA